CGGUAGAGCAACUGAUUUGUAAUCAGUAGGUCGCGGGUUCAAGUCCCGCCGCCGGCCA
rnacentral:tRNA from 1 species